ACGGAGGGUGCAAGCGUUAAUCGGAAUUACUGGGCGUAAAGCGCACGCAGGCGGUCUGUCAAGUCGGAUGUGAAAUCCCCGGGCUCAACCUGGGAACUGCAUUCGAAACUGGCAGGCUAGAGUCUUGCAGAGGGGGGUGGAAUUCCAGGUGUAGCGGUGAAAUGCGUAGAGAUGUGGAGGAAUACCGAUGGCGAAGGCAGCCCCCUGGGCCGAUACUGACGCUCAUGCGCGAAAGCGUGGGGAGCAAACAG
rnacentral:rRNA from 1 species